GAAUCACGCAGCUUCUCUUCGAUGGAGAGCAUUUGCUGCAGCAGGAGCUUCUGCUGCAUCGUAGGCUUCUUCAGAGAGUUCAGAUAUUCACUAAAGCAUUUCAAUUCCUAGAAGAAUGACUGGACCAGAAAGGGUUAAAAGUGAUGGAAAUGCAUCGAGGACAUUUCGACCAGUGUUGCCCACUUCUGAUGUAAAGGGACCUUCCACAGAAUGGGUCCAUUUAAAGGCAAAGAACCACUCAAUUGCAGAGUGAAAUAGCACUGUGAAAACAAGAAACAAGACCUGCCAACCUUAGGAUUCGGGAAACACUGCAGUGGAAGAGAAAGAAGAAGAUACUAAAGAUUAUGCGAUUAUGAAGUUUAUUAAUGCAACAUUGAUGUAAUGGCUGUCAAAGACUCGGUUGCUGUAAUACAUUGGUUCUAUCAGUUGAUGUCUCUGCCACACAAGUAUGCCUAUGUAAUCAAUGGGUCAAUAAAACUGGGACAAAAAAAGAAAAGUCACUCAGUGACUCUAUUGGUCAUUUUUUAAAGUUGUUUUUACCCUAAUCUAUCUGCAAAUGUAAAAUGGUACAAUAUUCACAUUAAUAUGCCAAAUAUAAAUGAGCGCUAAAAUUCUGGCAUUUUACGACUGCAAAAGUUGGCAGGUAUGUCAUUCUAUGAAAUGCCUCUCCGUAGAGUAUAUUCACUGGGCUAAAUAAGAAAUUCAAUAACAAUGAAGUUGUGUGUGCUCAUUUAGCCGGACUUCUCACUCCCACAAAUUUAAUUCAGGUGUGCGAUCAGUAGAGAUUCUGAUAUAAUAUUAAAAAUAAUUUAGUGCUCGCAAACUGUGCAAGAGAACUCAAUUUCAAUAUUCUAAAAUUUACAAAAGAAUACACCUAAUAUCAUGAAGUCAUUGUGAUAUGCGUCUAUAAUCUAUGUUGCCUGCCUCAAGUGAUAGAUCGAACUGUGAGUGUAAGCAGUACAGUUGGCCACAGAAGCUUAUGGGACAUGUGUUCCAUGACAAAUGUUUGAGCUCUGUUUAAAGGACACCAAGGAAACACUGAAUCAGCUCAAAGUACUCUUUCAUAACUAUACAUUGUUGUUGAUUUCGUGGUAAGAGCUUUAUUACGAAACGAGAACAUGAAGGACGAAUUGCCACAUUUUAAAAUUUGCACCGAAACCCCGUUUUGUCAGUGCGACGGCGCAUAUUCCGAAAAUUCAAAGCAUAGUUGAUGAUGGCAGAGACCUAGGCGGUGUGAUGAAGUUUGAAAAUUUGUACACACAGCAUGGUGGCAACCUCACAUACGGGAAAAAACAUUGCUUUUUGUGAAAUGAAGCAUUGUUCGUGAGGUGUUGUGAACUUCUGCGACUUCAUUGUUCCCGCCGCACCUUGGCUACCAGCAACGCCAUUUUUUUUCACUUCGUUCGACGAUGACUGCCACUAUACUAGUUUGGCAGUAGUUCUGUUUCAUCUUGUUUACUGCUGCAUGCCAAUGCCUCCACUUGCGCACUAUAUAAUCAACGUUCGCGCGCAUGUCAUUCCAAGUUAGGGCUGUCGAGAAAUUCUUUUAUCUCGUUUCUAAUCAAUGCAUUACCGCACGAUGCUUGCUUGCAUGGCUCUCCAGAAGGCUUGCAAUCACAUCUCUUUUUGCAGGACUCCUGAUAAUUUGAUGAAAUCUCAUCUAGUGAUGUAACGAUUGAUUACUACAAGUUUAUCUAUUGUUUUUUUUUUU